UACGAAGGGGGCUAGCGUUGCUCGGAAUCACUGGGCGUAAAGGGUGCGUAGGCGGGUCUUUAAGUCAGGGGUGAAAUCCUGGAGCUCAACUCCAGAACUGCCUUUGAUACUGAGGAUCUUGAGUUCGGGAGAGGUGAGUGGAACUGCGAGUGAAGAGGUGAAAUUCGUAGAUAUUCGCAAGAACACCAGUGGCGAAGGCGGCUCACUGGCCCGAUACUGACGCUGAGGCACGAAAGCGUGGGGAGCAAACAGG
rnacentral:rRNA from 1 species